GAUGAACGCUGGCGGCGUGCCUAAUACAUGCAAGUCGAGCGAACGGACGAGAAGCUUGCUUCUCUGAUGUUAGCGGCGGACGGGUGAGUAACACGUGGAUAACCUACCUAUAAGACUGGGAUAACUUCGGGAAACCGGAGCUAAUACCGGAUAAUAUUUUGAACAGCAUGGAUCAAAAGUGAAAGACGGUCUUGCUGUCACUUAUAGAAGGAUCCGCGCUGCAUUAGCUAGUUGGUAAGGUAACGGCUUACCAAGGCAACGAUGCAUAGCCGACCUCAGAGGGUGACCCGCCAGCCUGGAACUGACCCCCCGUCCCGACGCCUACGCGUCGCCGCCGUAGGUAAUCUUCCUCACUGGUCCGACGCCUUACCCACCAACGCCGCGUGUGUUCUCAAGGUCUUCGUAUCGUAAAGCUCUGUUGUUAGGUAGCAACAUAUGUGUACGUAACUGUUCACAUCUUGACGCUACCUAAUCAGAAAGCCACGGCUAACUCCGUG
rnacentral:rRNA from 1 species